UAAGGAAUAUUGGUCAAUGGACGCAAGUCUGAACCAGCCAUGCCGCGUGAAGGAUGAAGGUCCUCUGGAUUGUAAACUACUUUUAUCUGGGACGAAAACGGGAUUUUUAUCUCAAUUGACGGUACCAGAGGAAUAAGCACCGGCUAACUCCGUGCCAGCAGCCGCGGUAAUACGGAGGGUGCGAGCGUUAUCCGGAUUUACUGGGUUUAAAGGGUGCGUAGGUGGGCUUAUAAGUCAGUGGUGAAAUCUCCGAGCUUAACUUGGAAACUGCCGUUGAUACUAUAGGUCUUGAAUUAUCUGGAGGUAAGCGGAAUAUGUCAUGUAGCGGUGAAAUGCUUAGAUAUGACAUAGAACACCAAUUGCGAAGGCAGCUUACUACAUAUAAAUUGACGCUGAGGCACGAAAGCGUGGGGAUCAAACA
rnacentral:rRNA from 1 species